rnacentral:rRNA from 1 species
CCUACGGGAGGCAGCAGUGGGGAAUAUUGCACAAUGGGCGCAAGCCUGAUGCAGCCAUGCCGCGUGUGUGAAGAAGGCCUUCGGGUUGUAAAGCACUUUCAGCGGGGAGGAAGGCGUUAAGGUUAAUAACCUUGUCGAUUGACGUUACCCGCAGAAGAAGCACCGGCUAACUCCGUGCCAGCAGCCGCGGUAAUACGGAGGGUGCAAGCGUUAAUCGGAAUUACUGGGCGUAAAGCGCACGCAGGCGGUCUGUCAAGUCGGAUGUGAAAUCCCCGGGCUCAACCUGGGAACUGCAUUCGAAACUGGCAGGCUAGAGUCUUGGAGAGGGGGGUAGAAUUCCAGGUGUAGCGGUGAAAUGCGUAGAGAUCUGGAGGAAUACCGGUGGCGAAGGCGGCCCCCUGGACAAAGACUGACGCUCAGGUGCGAAAGCGUGGGGAGCAAACAGGAUUAGAUACCCCGGUAGUC